rnacentral:rRNA from 1 species
GAUAAGAAAGCAGAUCGCAUGAUCAGCUUUUAAAAGGCGGCGUAAGCUGUCGCUAUGGGAUGGCCCCGCGGUGCAUUAGCUAGUUGGUAAGGUAAAGGCUUACCAAGGCGAUGAUGCAUAGCCGAGUUGAGAGACUGAUCGGCCACAUUGGGACUNAGACACGGCCCAAACUCCUACGGGAGGCAGCAGUAGGGAAUCUUCCACAAUGGACGCAAGUCUGAUGGAGCAACGCCGCGUGAGUGAAGAAGGUUUUCGGAUCGUAAAGCUCUGUUGUUGGUGAAGAAGGAUAGAGGUAGUAACUGGCCUUUAUUUGACGGUAAUCAACCAGAAAGUCACGGCUAACUACGUGCCAGCAGCCGCGGUAAUACGUAGGUGGCAAGCGUUGUCCGGAUUUAUUGGGCGUAAAGCGAGCGCAGGCGGAAGAAUAAGUCUGAUGUGAAAGCCCUCGGCUUAACCGAGGAACUGCAUCGGAAACUGUUUUUCUUGAGUGCAGAAGAGGAGAGUGGAACUCCAUGUGUAGCGGUGGAAUGCGUAGAUAUAUGGAAGAACACCAGUGGCGAAGGCGGCUCUCUGGUCUGCAACUGACGCUGAGGCUCGAAAGCAUGGGUAGCGAACAGGAUUAGAUACCCUGGUAGUCCAUGCCGUAAACGAUGAGUGCUAAGUGUUGGGAGGUUUCCGCCUCUCAGUGCUGCAGCUAACGCAUUAAGCACUCCGCCUGGGGAGUACGACCGCAAGGUUGAAACUCAAAGGAAUUGACGGGGGCCCGCACAAGCGGUGGAGCAUGUGGUUUAAUUCGAAGCAACGCGAAGAACCUUACCAGGUCUUGACAUCUAGUGCCAUUUGUAGAGAUACAAAGUUCCCUUCGGGGACGCUAAGACAGGUGGUGCAUGGCUGUCGUCAGCUCGUGUCGUGAGAUGUUGGGUUAAGUCCCGCAACGAGCGCAACCCUUGUUAUUAGUUGCCAGCAUUAAGUUGGGCACUCUAAUGAGACUGCCGGUGACAAACCGGAGGAAGGUGGGGAUGACGUCAAGUCAUCAUGCCCCUUAUGACCUGGGCUACACACGUGCUACAAUGGGCAGUACAACGAGAAUGCGAGCCUGCGAAGGCAAGCGAAUCUCUGAAAGCUGUUCUCU